rnacentral:rRNA from 1 species
GAUGAACGCUAGCGGGAUGCCUUACACAUGCAAGUCGAACGGAGUGGCGAACGGGUGAGUAAUGUAUCGGAACGUGCCCAGUAGCGGGGGAUAACUACGCGAAAGCGUAGCUAAUAACGCAUACUAUUGGAGCGGCCGAUAUCGGAUUAGCUGGUUGGUGGGGUAACGGAUCACCAAGGCGACGAACGUUGGCGGGUUUGAGAGGACGACCAGCCACACUGGGACUGAGAAACGGCCCAGACUCCUACGGGAGGCAGCAGUGGGGAAUUUUGGACAAUGGGGGAACCCCUGAUUCAGCCAUCCCGCGUGGGCGAUGAAGUCCUUCGGGUUGUAAAGCACUUUUGGCAGGAAAGCGGUACCUGCAGAAUAAGCACCGGCUAACUACGUGCCAGCAGCCGCGGUAAUAC